GACGGGUGAGUAACGCGUGAGAAUCUGCCCUCAGGAGGGGGAUAACGGUUGGAAACGACCGCUAAUACCCCAUAUGCCGCGAGGUGAAAUGAAUUUCGCCUGAGGAUGAGCUCGCGUCUGAUUAGCUAGUUGGUGGGGUAAAGGCCUACCAAGGCAUCGAUCAGUAGCUGGUCUGAGAGGAUGAUCAGCCACACUGGGACUGAGACACGGCCCANNCUCCUACGGGAGGCAGCAGUGGGGAAUUUUCCGCAAUGGGCGAAAGCCUGACGGAGCAACGCCGCGUGAGGGAUGAAGGCCUCUGGGCUGUAAACCUCUUUUAUCAAGGA
rnacentral:rRNA from 1 species